CCUACGGGUGGCAGCAGUGAGGAAUAUUGGUCAAUGGGCGGAAGCCUGAACCAGCCAAGUAGCGUGCAGGAUGACGGCACUACGGAUUGUAAACUGCUUUUAUCCGGGAAUAACGCGCCUUACGUGUAGGGCGUUGCAUGUACCGUAUGAAUAAGGACCGGCUAAUUCCGUGCCAGCAGCCGCGGUAAUACGGAGGGUCCGGGCGUUAUCCGGAUUUAUUGGGUUUAAAGGGAGCGUAGGCCGCCUGUCAAGCCAGCUGUGAAAUGUCCGGGCUCAACCCGGGCCGUGCAGCGGGAACUGGCGGGCUUGAGUUGGAGGAAAGCAGGUGGAAUUCGCGGUGUAGCGGGGAAAUGCUUAGAUAUGGCGAAGAACCCCGAUUGCGAAGGCAGCUUGCUGCAGCGGAACUGACGCUGAUGCUCGAAAGCGAGGGUAUCGAACAGGAUUAGAUACCCGUGUAGUC
rnacentral:rRNA from 1 species